AUUAAUCUGUAAUGGCUUAAUACAAUUAAUUGCCUAUGAAAAUAAUGUUAUAUGAUACUGUGUGUUUGAAUCCCCAUUCCUCCAUCUUAAUGCAACUGGAAAAACAAUUUUAGAACCUUUAAUUAGGCCUCUCCUCUCCUCUCCUCUCCAUUGUUAUGGAAUCUCUUUACACUUGCUCCCUUGUUUCUUCUAUUACAUUUAUAUUGUUGGUGCACUACUACUCUCUCGUGACUUGCUUGGCUGUGAGUACUGCAACCAAUAUCACCACUGAUCAAUCGGCUCUUCUUGCCCUGAAAUCCCAUAUCACUUACGACCCUCGCAACAUCUUGGCCAACUGGACCAACUCAACCUCCCCUUGCAACUGGAUUGGUGUCCAUUGCAGCACUCGCCGCCACAGAGUUGCAGCCUUAAACCUUUCUUACAUGGGCCUACGAGGCACCAUCCCUCGACAUUACAAACAAUAGUUUCCAUGGCGAUAUCCCUGAAGAGAUAGGUCUGUUGAGUAGAGUUGAGGCUAUCAUUUUCCUUUUCAACCACGUUACAGGAAACCUUCCUAAAGAUAUCGGAAAGCUUGCUAGUCUGGAGUUUUUGGAUCUGAGGUGGAACCGACUUUCGGGCUCCAUACCUGCCUCCAUCUUCAACAUCUCCUCGCUGGAGAGUAUUAGACUCAACCAAAAUAGCCUAUCGGGUAACCUUCCAACGGAUAUAUGCUACCGUGUUCCAAAACUUUCCAGACUUGGAAUGGCCAGUAACCACUUCCAUGGCCAAAUUCCUUCCACUUUAUAUAAAUGCUCCCAACUUCAAAUCUUGUCAUUGUCAAAUAACAAAUUUAGUGGAGCAAUACCAAGAGAGAUCAGGAAUUUAACCAUUCUGAAAGAGUUAUAUCUUGGUGGAAACAACUUGAAAGGUAAAAUUCCACAAGAGUUGGGAAAUUUUCAUAUUCUGGAGGUGCUAGCAACUGAUGGUGCUGGCCUCACUGGUACCGUCCCAUCUUCUGUCUUUAACAUUUCUUCUUUGAAAAGGCUUUAUCUGGAUAGGAAUAAAUUAACUGGUACUCUGCCGCGGGGUAUGAGCUGGCAACUUCCUAUUACAUCUUAUAUAUAAUAGUUUGACUGGUACGUAUAUAUCCUCUUCAUUAUCUAUUUUUUAUAUGUUUGAUUUUCAGAAUUGGCACAGAGUCCUUGUUGAAAUAACAAGCAUUUCUAAUUUUCUUUAGGUUGUAUUUGGCUGCAUGAAAUUGGAGCUUUGAAAUUAGAAUUAGUGUAAUUGGAGAAAUUUUCUGUUUAUUUUUAUGACCAGCUUUCUUUUAAUUCCACAAAUUCCAAUUCCAAGACUACCAUUUCAUGCAACUAAACAUACCUUAAAGUGUAUAUAUAUUCCCAAUGGAUGGGAGCUUAGUAGAACAUGCUGUCAUAAACUUCACAUUUUUAAUUGCAGGUGCAAUACCACAAGAGAUUGAAAAUCUUUCCGAUCUGGAGAGUUUAAAAUUAAGUUUGAAUAGCUUAGAAGGUCCAAUUCCGGAAAAAUUAUUCAACAUAUCAAAACUAAGAAUCAUUGCAUCAGCGGCCAAUUAUCAUCUUUGAGGCAAACUUCCAUUGAUUAUUAGGUUAGCCAAUCUUGAAGAAUUAUCCCUCCCUCUAUCUCAAAUGCUUCCAAACUCAUUCGUUUAGACCUUUCCUCUAACAACUUCAACCAUUUCAUUCCCAACUCACUUGGUAAAUUGGAACUGCUCGAAUUUCUAAACCUAGCAGGAAACAAUUUCAUGAGCGAAUCUUCGAACCAAGAAUUGGGAAUUAUUACUGCCUUGACAAAUUGCAAGCGUUUAAGAAUAUUGUGGAUGGAAAGAAAUCCUCUGAAUGACAUCCUUCCGGUAUCCAUUGGGAAUUUGUCCAAUUUGCUGCAAGAUAUUCGGGCGGGUGAUUGUGAAAUUAAGGGCAACAUUCCUAACCAUAUUGGUAACUUGACCAAUUUGUUUUUCUUACAUCUACAUGGCAAUGGCUUCACUGGAUCUAUUCCAACCACAAUAAAUAAGUUGCCAAGGCUUCAAAUUUUAGAUCUUGCAUAUAACAGGAUACAAGGUCCCAUUCCAAAUGGUCUCUGCCAUUUAAAGAACUUGGCUUCAUUGGAUCUGAGUGAAAAUGAACUUGUUGGUCCAAUUCCAACUUGCUUAGGGGAUGUUACAUUUCUGAGAAAACUCUUUCUGGGCGCCAACAAAUUAACCUCCACAAUACCCAUAAAUCUAUUUAGCCUCAAAAGAUAUCUUGAAAUUGAACUUGUCCUCAAAUUCUUUGAGGGGCUCUCUUCCCUCAAACAUUGGAAGUCUAAAGGCCGCAAUACAAAUAGAUUUAUCACAAAAUAAAUUUUCAGGGGAUAUCCCUAGCACAAUUGGAGGUCUACAGAGCUUAAUCAGUUUUUCUUUGGCACAUAAUAGACUACAAGGACCUAUUCCCGAGACAUUUGGAAACUUGAUAAGCUUGGAAUUCUUGGAUCUGUCUUACAACAAUCUCUCAGGUGUAAUUCCCAUGUAAAUACUUACACUUACAUAUAUAUAUUUUCCCAUCUCUCCACUUUUGUGGCCUCUUUAAGUAAUACAUUGCUUAAAUAAAUUAGAACUUCCAUAUAAAGAUAAUGGCUCAAGAAAAAAGAAAUGGCAAAUCAUAAUUUUUUUUUAAAAAAAAAAUUUAUUUUUGUCACUGACAAAAAAUUCACAUGCAUUAUUCAAAACACAACUAUUUUGAUUCUUUGAAGAGUCGAAUUCAUAUUAUUCAUUUUGAGUAAACGGUAAAGGACAUACCAUUGGGCACAAGUUCUGCUUUCAAGUUUUUCAUUGGAAUUUUUAUUUUUGGUUUUAAAUAAGAUGUAGAGCCUAAUAUUCUGUACACUUUAGCCAACUUCGCAGAUUACGGAAUUCCACUUCUUAUGUUAACCCUACUAGUUGGGUAUUUAUUCAUCCUGAGAAAUCCUGCAACCUUUACCUUAGCUUAAGUGAACUAUCUGUGUGUCAUUGUGUUAUAUAUAUAUAUAUUUCCCUGUUUAAUUUCCCAACAAUCCCAACUGUUUGGUGUGAAGUCGGUUAGAAAAGGCCCGCGAAAUCACUUGUAUCAUAUCCGUUUGUUUCUUUCUAAAUACAUAAACAUAUACAGCACCCUCUCAUGGAGUUUCCUAAAAACUCACACACUUAUGUUUUGUUCUAAGAAAGAAUAUAUUACCAGUAUUUGGUAAAGAAGAGACAAGAAAUAAAAAAUAAUAGGAUAGAUGAGUAUUUUUUUUCCUUUACAAAAAUUUCUUCAACCUUUAACCAAAAAAAAAAAAAAUUUCUUCGACCCGCAGCUCAAACGCAUCAAAGAGCUAGUGUCUUAUCUUGUUGCGUUCUUUCUGUUUCUUCUGCAUAUUCAAUGAAAUGUUCUGCAGAUCAUACUAAUCUAUUUUUAAAAUUUCGUUUCGGAAAAAUAUAAACCUACCCUACCCUCGAUAAGAUUGAUUAGAUUUUAUUAUCAAAGAUAGUGGUUCAACAGGUAAGAAUAAUCCUAUUAUAACUGGAGGAGGUCAAAAGGAUUAAAUCAUAUCGAUUUCGCACAAGCGGAAGAUAAGAUCAACCAUCGAUAUCGACGGAACUAUUUUGAUUCCAAUCGACAGUCAUAAAUAGGACAUCAAGCCAUUAAAGAAGAAAAAGGGAAUCAUAUCGGGCUGCGCAAAUUUCGGCCUCAACAAUUACAACUUUGUUUUCUUUCCAAUCUAGGAUUUUGUAUUCAAAUGUUAGACUGAAGAAUAUUUUUUUCAAUCUUGUUUAUGGAGUUCAGAAUCCGUAGAUUGGCUGUGGAUUUGUUUAGAUUUUAUGGGGAUUCGACAAAGAAAGUUAAAUAAUAAACAGAACACACAAAUUUAUGUAAAUAAAUAAAUAAAUAAAUAACUAUAUGUUUUUUACUAGUUUAAGUUGGGGCCAUUAUAUUUGACACGCCACGUUGAGUAGGUAAGAGU